rnacentral:rRNA from 1 species
GACGAACGCUGGCGGCGUGCUUAACACAUGCAAGUCGAACGGAAAGGCCUGCUUUCCCUUGUGGAUUGCGGGUGCUCGAGUGGCGAACGGGUGAGUAACACGUGAGUGAUCUGCCCCCAACUUGGGUAUAAGCCUGGGAAACUGGGUCUAAUUCCCGAUAGGACUGCAGGGUGGUGCCUGUGGUGGAAAACGAUUUUCUAGUGGUUGGGGAUGAGCUCGCGGCCUAUCAGCUUGUUGGUGGGGUAAUGGCCUACCAAGGCGGCGACGGGUAGCCGGCCUGGGAGGGUGGACGGCCACAUUGGGACUGAGAUACGGCCCAGACUCCUACGGGAGGCAGCAGUGGGGAAUAUUACACAAUGGGCGGAAGCCUGAUGCAGCGACGCCGCGUGGGGGAUGACGGCCUUCGGGUUGUAAACUCCUUUCGACCGCGAGGAAGCCACCUGGUUGGAAGGGUGGUGACGGUAGUGGUAGAAGAAGCACCGGCUAACUACGUG